rnacentral:rRNA from 1 species
ACGCUCGACACCUACGGGAGACAGCAGUCGGGAAUAUUGCGCAAUGGAGGAAACUCUGACGCAGUGACGCCGCGUAUAGGAAGAAGGUCUUCGGAUUGUAAACUAUUGUCGUUAGGGAAGAAAAAGGACAGUACCUAAGGAGGAAGCUCCGGCUAACUACGCGCCAGCGGCCGCGGUAAUCUGAGCGGGCGUGCAAGGC